rnacentral:rRNA from 1 species
UUCUUUNNNUUUUUUNCCUUGUGCCGUGGCUUUCGGAGCUAACGCGUUAAGUAGACCGCCUGGGGAGUACGGUCGCAAGAUUAAAACUCAAAUGAAUUGACGGGGGCCCGCACAAGCGGUGGAGCAUGUGGUUUAAUUCGAUGCAACGCGAAGAACCUUAUCUACUCUUGACAUCCAGAGAAGCUUGAAGAGAUUCGAGUGUGCCUUCGGGAACUCUGAGACAGGUGCUGCAUGGCUGUCGUCAGCUCGUGUUGUGAAAUGUUGGGUUAAGUCCCGCAACGAGCGCAACCCUUAUCCUUGUUUGCCAGCACUUCGGGUGGGAACUCCAGGGAGACUGCCGGUGAUAAACCGGAGGAAGGUGGGGACGACGUCAAGUCAUCAUGGCCCUUACGAGUAGGGCUACGCACGUGCUACAAUGGCAUAUACAGAGGGCAGCAAGACCGCGAGGUGGAGCGAAUCCCAGAAAGUAUGUCGUAGUCCGGAUCGGAGUCUGCAACUCGACUCCGUGAAGUCGGAAUCGCUAGUAAUCGUGGAUCAGAAUGCCACGGUGAAUACGUUCCCGGGCCUUGUACACACCGCCCGUCACACCAUGGGAGUGGGCUGCACCAGAAGUAGAUAGCUUAACCUUCGGGAGGGCGUUUACCACGGUGUGGUUCAUGACUGGGGUGAAGUCGUAACAAGGUAACCG